rnacentral:lncRNA from 1 species
AUGUGUGUAGUGCGUGCGCAGUACGUGUGCAGUGUGCGCUCUAGGCCUGCUUGCACUCUGCGUGCGUUACAACCGAGGUCACACGUGUUCGCACGUGUUCACACGGCCGAAAUGUACUUUUCAGAGGACGCGAGCCAGAAGAUGCCCACCCUGUCCAUCCUCCAGUCGACGAGUAAGGAGCAGCCGCACGUGUGUCUGGCGGCAGGAUUCUACCCCAAGGGUCAGGAGAUGAAGCUCAUGGAGGACGUCGGAGAAGCGAACAAGAGUUCCAAGUCCAUCACGGUGGACAAGGCGCCCCUGGACACCAGCAGCAAGUCCUACUUCUUUGCUGGCUUCAUGGACAAGGGGAAGAGCCUGAGGGAGUGUGAGCUCAUGGGCCAGAAAGAACAGCUGGAGGAAGAGACUAAACCGACCGCCCAGGCGCCGAGUCCAGAGGAGUGCGAACCCGCCUCUGUCAAUGACACCCUGUCCCAAGGGCGUUCCGGCGACACACUCGGUGCGUUCUCUCGAUGCGCUGCGAUGGCUAUGAAAAGGGGGGUCCACAUGAACCUUGGCAGUUUCAAGCACCGCAGGGACAGUUUGGCUGCAGGGACACUUUGACCACAGGCACACUUUGACCGCAGGGACACUUUGACCACAGGCACACUUGGUGUCCUCGCCCUGAUGGGGAUGCCAUUAGGGCUCCUGUCUUUGGUACGGAACUGAAUGAGCAGGACGUCAGCGAUUAUCUUUGUGUCGGUAAAGAAUGGACAUGUGUCUCUGUGAAGAAGUGGCACCUUUUGCCUGUAUAUAGUGUGCAGUUUGGCACACGGGGGACACGUGACAUGGAGAAGGGCAAUCGAGGAGUUACACAGUGCAUCUCAUGAUGUGUAUGUGUGUGUGUGUGUGUGUGUGUGUGUGUGUGCGCACGCUGCAGAACACAUGAAGGUGAACUUCCGCUCACUGCUGGUCCACGGACUCAGGCUGCUGUUGGCCAAGGUCGUGACCUUUGACAUGAUGGUCACGGUCAAGGCCAUGUUCUUCUAGCCGCAGGUGAGCUCUUCCUCCUCCUCCUCUUCAUUGUCCACUUUGUGGCGUCAAACAAACUGCAGAAGAGAAAGCAAUGCUGGUGUCUUUGGGUGGAUGUGUGUGUGAACAGUAUGCGUGACGUGUGUGUGUGUGAUCCACUCAGUUUGCGGCCUUUACUACAGCAUCGGAGUGCACAGAAUGUGCUGGAACAUCACGCUGAAGCCGUAUCACAUAUGACGUGUGUGGUGUUGAUGGGUCCAGCAGGAGACGCCACGACACUCCACCCGAGGAGCUCCAGCGUGUCCAGCGUGUCCAGCAUGUCCAGCGCGUCCAGAACGUCCAGCCUCAGCAUUUCUGCUGGACGGAGCCGGAGCCGGAGCCGGAGCCGGAGCACAGGACAGGCGUCCCUCACAGCUUCUUCAUAGGAACUGCGGCUGCUGCUUCUGCCAAAGUGUGUGUUACCGCAGUGCAGCAAAAAAUAGUGUAAAACACUGUAAAUAGAGUAGUGAACACAGCAGCCCUGCAGUUUGCAUUCGGUGUUGAUGACCGAGCUGAAGCCACACGUGUUUUUCUGUGUUUGUGUCCUUCUGCUAAGAGCGAUUUCAUUGAUCUGCCAGCUUAAUAAAGACGACCUUUUUACGCA